rnacentral:lncRNA from 15 species
GAGUGUAGUGGAGUGCAGGCAGAGACACACACACACAGGCAGAGACCAGCAGUCACACUUCAAGAGAGCUUUGUUAACAGACCAAGUCAGAGCUCAUGAUGGCACGGCUCUCACUCCUGUUCGCAUUCCUCUUCUACCCUGUGGGCUUUGGAGAACCUGUGCAUGUGAUUCUGGGAGACCCGGUGUCAUUCCCAGUAAUCGGGAACUGUCUGAAUGAGCCGGUAGACAGACUUUACCGGGUCACAGCGCACAGCAACCGGCCGGUGGUUGCUCGUGAGGACGGUGUCUGCAAACCGGCCGAGGACUACAAAGACAGGGUGGAUGUGAACUCCUGCUUCGCCUUCAGUCGCUCAGUUUACACAGAUACUGGACUUUAUGAGCUCACCUGCGGCAGCCGGGAUCAAAGAGUCCAGCUGAAUGUUGUUGUGGGCUCUGAAGCAUCUGCCACUGAGGGACAACCGGUCCAACUACCGUGCUACUUCAGUCCUGCAGGGGGACAUGUGGACUCUAUACGGUGGGAAAGAAACGGACACACUGUGCUGGAGCGCAAUCUGGCCACUGGAAAGACCAAAUACGGGACCGGGUUUGAGAGAAGAGUGUCUCUGCCGGCUGAUGGCCACAAACACGGAGACUGGUCUCUGAUGUGGGAUCAGGUCCGGCUGGAGGAUGGAGGGGAUUUCUUUUGCUCUGCGCACAGGGGGGACGUGAGAGAGGGGUGGGGAGACCCUGCUGCUGUGAGGAUGAAGGUCACCAAGAGAAACCCAGAUCAGACGACCCCUCACCCACCGCACACUCCCACACAGUGCGCUACUGAGAAGGAAGGGAUCUGGAAGCCAAUCGGCAUAGCAGCUGUGGUGUUACUUAUUAUUAUUAUUAGUAGUAGUAUAAUUGUUAUUAUUUAUGCUGCUUUCCCGCGUCUCUGGGCUGUCCUGAAGUCCCGCUGCUCAUCUGGACCCACAGGAGGACUUCAAUAUUCAGGUGUGGCUCUGAAACCUCUGAACAGUGAGAAUCCUCCUCAAGACUCGAACGGGAAUACCCCACAUGCUGCUGUCGUUGUACAGGUUUAGUUGCUUUGUCAUCUGUUGAUGUUGAUGAAGUGUAAAUGAAAUAUUGUUCAUAUUGAGGAAUCUAAAUAAAAUCCUCUGAAACCAAUCUGCCUCUUUAUGCUUGGAACCUGUGCGUAAUCUUACUGUAACUUUGGACACGUGUAGAAGUGACUCUAAAUCUGUCCCUGCUGGGUCCUGAAGCCCANNNNNNNNNNNNNNNNNNNNAGCGAGAGAGAGAGAGAGAGAGAGAGAGAGAGAGAGAGAGAGAGAAAUAGGGAAAUAGGGAAAAUAGGAGAGAGAGAGAGAGAGAGAGAGAGAGAGAGAGAGAGAGAGAGACAGAGAGAGACAGACAGACAGAGACUCCAUAUCUGAACUGUUGGUGGUAACAACAAAAGUAAUACUGUCAAAUGUUUUGGGGGUAACAGUAAUAUUAUUAAUGAAAUGUAAUGUAAUCACACUGUUGACCGCAUUAACGUGAUAUUGAAUGUCUCUUUAUCUCAAUGGGGGAACUGGUUUGGGGACUGUAAUCUUGUUUAGUAUUUGAGAUUUAUUUGGUCAGAUAGCAAAACCACUUCCUCUAAUCCCGUCAUGCAGCAUGGUUCACAUCAAGGUGUGAGGUAUCACUUUUGUGCAGGGUGCAGUCUUCAGACUGGCGUUUACACGUUUCCAUGACAACACCAGAAGUCAACUAUGCGGUUAUAGUUGUAUGUAAGUAAGUUGUUUCUUUGUGCAAUAACAAUAAUGCUUCUUGGUUGGUGUCAUUGUGGGUAAUGGUGAGAGUUAAACUUGUUAUUAUGUCGCCUCUGGUACAUUUAGGAUGAUACAUUAGUUUUUGUAUUGACAGUUUGAGGAAGCGUGGAGAUGCGAGAGAAUGGCGAGUGAAAGAGCAGCAAUCCCAAAAUGUGCAUCAACAUCUCCUCCUUCUGGACGAAUGGAGCAAUUACAAACAAACAAUGAAUUUAAGAAAAGCAACUUAAUAUUUGUCUCGGCUCGAAAUAAUCAGUGUAAACACUGCAGAAUAACUCACAGUGCAGUUAUACAGCAUCUGAAAUCCUGUUAUUUAAUUUUAAAAAGGAAAUCACAAUUAAAUAUAUAUAAAUAAAAGUUAAUAAAUGUGUUUUUCCACCUGUGAUAAUGCUGACAGGUCAAUAAACUAACACAAUCUAAUACAGUUAAGUGAAGAAGCCUUAAUAAAGUAAACUUAAGUUAAAGGAGCAAUGCACUCUGAGUUGUGUCUCCUUAUUAGAAAUAAACCUGCAUCCUGCUUGAAGAUAGAUUUUAAGGUCAUAAACGUUUGUUUUUUUUGUAGUAAAACUCAAACCAAAACCAUCUUUCUUUCCCUGUACAGUUAGAUCAAAUAAAUAUAU